rnacentral:misc_RNA from 1 species
GUAGGUGAACCUGCGGAAGGAUCAUUAACACGUAUCCACGUAUCAACCCCUCUGUGCAAAACCUAUCUCCUGAAAAGGUAUGGUCUUAGUGUGUUGCUCGUUUGAAGUCCUAAUGAUGGGAGGUUUUCUCUCGCUUUCUUUCGAGAAGUGAGAAGUACCUCAGGGCUUGAGCAGCAUGUGUUUGACGAUCAGCCGUCACUUUCCCAUCGUUGGCCUUUCACCAACUUUUUAACCCCUUUGUACUUUUUGUACUGAACCAAUUCUUCGAUGCUCUUUUUUUAAGGAGCGACGAUAGAUAUUACGAAACUAAAGAACAACUCUUAGCAACGGAUAUCUUGGUUCCC